rnacentral:rRNA from 1 species
UACGUAGGGCGCAAGCGUUGUCCGGAAUUACUGGGCGUAAAGCGCUCGUAGGCGGCUUGUCACGUCGGGUGUGAAAGCCCGGGGCUUAACCCCGGGUCUGCAUUCGAUACGGGCUAGCUAGAGUGUGGUAGGGGAGAUCGGAAUUCCUGGUGUAGCGGUGAAAUGCGCAGAUAUCAGGAGGAACACCGGUGGCGAAGGCGGAUCUCUGGGCCAUUACUGACGCUGAGGAGCGAAAGCGUGGGGAGCGAACAGG